AAGCUGAUCGAAACAUUUGGUUACACCUACAAUAUAUGUAGGUAUAAGAACCAGCCGAGGUGUCGAUUCUAAGUUUACAUGUGGCUCCAGCCGAGCGCGAACAUAGAAAGAGAGAGAGAGAGAGAGAGAGAGAGAGAGAGAGAGAGAGAGAGAGAUCCAAGACACGAAGCUAGGAACCAAAACAUAUCGGCGGGCGCGAGACAAUGCUAAUGUAACAAUAAAACUUUUUUAUUUAUUAAUUUUUUUAAAUCUAACUUUUUCCAAUGUAUUUGUAAGAUUUCUAUGAUUACAAUGAGACCAAACACGUUAUACGCACAGCGAAACAGGAAAGUAUUUCGCUAUUUGUUUGUAUUUUAUAUUUCAUAUUACUUCUUAUACCAAAAUUUUUUUUUUUUUAAAUUAUACAAGAUGUUCGGCAACCGAACAAAAUAUAAAAUAAGAAUAAAAAAAAUACGCAGCAGCUUGGGAUCGAACUAGCGAUAUUUUGUGUACGAUAUGUUACAUCCGGCCCUGCCGGUGUCCCUUUUCAGCGACCUCGCAUUGCGAAUACUUAAGAUCAGAUACUUUUAGGAAUGCGCUUGACAAACGUGCGAUCUGCGAAUCAGCGAAAUAGGCGUCAGCGCUCAACGGCAGCACAUCCGCUGAACUUGGGACCCCUCCCGAUUUCAACGGAUGCCGAAACGACAGUUCUCGAACGCGGCUCGUGCCAUGCGAGGAUCAGCUAAUAUAUAAACCCGUGGACACGCCCCACGGCUCUUUUUUUAUUCCGCUGUCAGUACGUCCUCAUCGUGGUGAUUAUCGAAAUCUUGUAGUCGCGGACAGGUUAACUUCACGCGUUGUCGUUACCUACGAAAGUCCGACGUAUAAUCGGUUAAGAUCACAUCGAACCUUUAUCGUCAAUCGAACACGCACUCAGCGUCGCGCUUUGGUCGUCAAAUACUAAAUUAUUGUAGUCACGGAUAGAGUAAUCGUACGCCCGCCGCGUCGUUGCCGAGGAAAGUCCGUUGUUAAUUAGUAGAGACCCGUGUCGCGAGUGAUAGUUGCCGACAAACAGAUCCUUGCAACAGCACAGCCCUGGGACCACAACAGAUAGCUGGUACAACCAAACUGUAAGACCGACAAGCGAAUGAGCAGCCUGGAGGAAGUUACAUACGGUCUUGAUAGAUUGACCUUCGGGGAUACUUACAUAAUAGGACAAUAUGGGGUGUCAUAUAUUGUCACACCACUGGGUAUGCCGCAGCCCCCGCUACCACCACCAGCCUUCGCGUGGCCGCAACACGAG